UCCUUGAUCGAUUGAGAAUCGAAUUAAAAAUCGGUUGAGUAGUUUGAGUUAGAGGGCAUUGAGAUUGUAAAGGAAUGAUAGAAUUUAAUCUCAAAUUAAUGGAUGGGCGUUUUAUAACCAUUUGUGAAUAACGGAUGCUUAUUCCGAGGGGAAUGAGUUGUUUUUGAGAGUAUCUCAUUAUAUGGUUAAUUAUAUCCUAUUUUAUUGUGACAGGACGUACUGAGCCCUCGAGCGAGGAGGACACAGACAGGCAGCAGGGUUAGCUGCGGGAUUCACUUAUUUCAGAUUAGCCGAGAUUGCGUCCAGGCUCAAGGACUUUGGGAAUCAGCGCUUCCGUUUUUGUCCGUAGGUUAUUACUUAACCUACCUUGUAUGAUAUCGGCUUAGUUUUAGUGUUGCUCUGAUAAGCCUUUUCUUUUGAUUUUGAUGGAUGUUGUUGUUCGGAUUGUGGUUGCUUACGGAGGUUGA
rnacentral:lncRNA from 1 species